UCGGGGGUAGUUCAGUUGGUAGAACGCCGGCCUUUGGAGCCGGUUGUCGCAGGUUCGAGCCCUGCCCCCCGAG
rnacentral:tRNA from 1 species